UGAGGUCGGCAACCAUGGUCCUCAACU
rnacentral:sRNA from 1 species